UACGGGGGGAGCAAGCGUUGUUCGGAUUUACUGGGCGUAAAGGGCGCGUAGGCGGUCAGCACAAGUCAGUUGUGAAAUCUCCGGGCUUAACUCGGAAAGGUCAACUGAUACUGUGCGACUAGAGUGCGGAAGGGGCAACUGGAAUUCUCGGUGUAGCGGUGAAAUGCGUAGAUAUCGAGAGGAACACCUGCGGCGAAGGCGGGUUGCUGGGCCGACACUGACGCUGAUGCGCGAAAGCUAGGGGAGCAAACAGG
rnacentral:rRNA from 1 species